rnacentral:rRNA from 1 species
GAGCAGUAGUAAGCGCACUUGUUCAUUUAUAGGUAGUAAGCAUAUCAAUAAGCGGAGGAAGGUUUCCUGUGGUGCGUUAUGUGAAGGAUUUGUUUACUCAUCCACUCACACCUGUGCACCCUCCGUAGUUCUAUGGCCUGGGUGGGCUCUGUCCUCCUGGCGUGGUUCUACGUCUUUACACACACACUACAACAAAGUCUUAUGGAAUGUAUGUCGCGUUUAACGCAAUGAAAUACAACUUUCAGCAACGGAUCUCUUGGCUCUCGCAUCGAUGAAGAACGCAGCGAAAUGCGAUAAGUAAUGUGAAUUGCAGAAUUCAGUGAAUCAUCGAAUCUUUGAACGCACCUUGCGCCCUUUGGCUAUUCCGAAGGGCAUGCCUGUUUGAGUAUCAUGAACACCUCAACUCUCAUGGCUUGCCAUGAUGAGCUUGGACUUUGGGGGUCUUGUUGGCCUGUGAGCCAGCUCCUCUUAAAUGAAUUAACUUGCCGGUGUUUGGUGGCGUCACGGGUGUGAUAACUAUCUACGCUUGUGGUUUCCCACCAGGUAACCUUCAGCAAUGGACGUUCGCCGGAGCUUAUAAAUGUCUCUCCUCCGGUGAGGACACAUUUUUGACCAUUUGAUCUCAAAUCAGGUAGGACUACCCCGCUGAACUUAAGCAUAUCAUACGCCGGAAGGGAAAAAAAGGCCGUUGUGUCAUUUAUACGUAAGUACUAUAUAUACACACGCACCGCGCUUCUCCAUGUACUUUAUCAG